UAUGUCUUGGGCUUUAAUUGCCCGAAAUCAAAGCUUUUAGCCUUUUGCCUCUUCUUUAUUGAGCGAACGAGAACCCGGAGACUAGCGCGCGCGAAAAAAGAUUUCAGUUUGGCUUUGUAUUGUUCCCAAUGUUCAAUUUUCUCGUGGGAAUUUCUUCAAUCAUCUUCAGCUUCAAGGCCAACGUCUAUUUCGAAAUCAUCAGCGCCGAAACCCUAAUCACUUUCAGAGAAUUUGGUUCAUCCUUUUUCGAAACCAGUACUUCCCGCCAAACAAGAUCAGGUCCAUCUCAGUGUCUACAAUCUUCUCCAUAGGAACCAGGUCUCUCUCUCUCUCUCUCUCUCUCUCCCUCCAGGUAAGGAAAUAUAUAUAUUUUUAUAUAGGUACCAAGAAAAGUUCGAAGAAUUAUUUCUUUUCGGGUUUUUGCAGAAAGUUUGAAGAAUCUUACUGAUGUUUCACCGUAACAACUCAAUCAGAAACAUUAACAUCGUUGAUCGGAAGUGGUGCGGGGCUUCCGGGAUUUAUUUUAGCUACUGCUUCCCAGGCGAAUCAAUUUGUUGCUUUUUUUUUUUUUUUUUUAAAUUUAAUUUUGUGCUGCAUUGAUGCGGCUUAUUGUUAAUUUUUUUUGAAAUUUAUGUUCUAAAUUCAUUUUCUGGUUUUUUUUUUUUGUUGGUGGGUCUGGUAUCAAAUCUUGGACGGUAGAUUGGAAAAUAACGCUAUUAGAGUCUAUGAACAAGCACUGAGUUUUAUUGGAGUAUGUGAUAGCUCUUGCUGGCCAAUCUAAUGACUAAAUUGUACAAGGAAUUAAUAUUGUCUCCCUCUUCCUUCUUGUACGAUAUUUUCACAUUUGCAGGUAUACGAGUGUGUUUCCAUUUGAAUGUUACUUUCCUUAAUUCCUGUGUAUGUAAACUCUCUCCCCCUUUGAGACUAUGUAAAAUAUGUUUCCUUGUAGGAUUUCUGAGGAAGAGCUGAAGCAAGUUUAAUGAUUUGAAAUAGAAUUUCUGUAUAGAAUAUGAACCAUGGGUUAUGGCAUAGUGGGGUCGUGUUCCUAAUUGGAGUGGGUACUAUCCAUGUUAUUGUUUAUGGUUGCAGAAACGGGAAUCUUACGUAAUCUUGAAAUACACCCUAUCUUGGUUUUUUCUAUGUUUUUGUGAGACUCUAAAUGGUUAAUUUCCGCUAAAGUUGCUCAUUCUGGGUUCUUCAUUUUCAGCUGAAUACUAUCUUCCUCUAGUUUGUGCUAGUGGUCUGUUUGUGGUUGCAGAGGGUCAUGAUCCUCAGCAGCAAAAGAGUAUACAAGAGAUGGCCAAAGGGCCUUGAUCCUAACGCCCUAAUUGUUAGGGGCCAGAUGAAGAUGUUGAGCUGUUUAGGAAGGUUUGUUCUAGUCUCUUAAUUUAUUUAUUUAUUCCUUAUGGAUAGUGUAUACAUAAUAAAAAUUGUCAAUGUUUUUGGAGGAUCGAUCAACUAAACAGUGGGUGGGUUUGAAGGGUUGCCUUGACGAGGUUCAACAUCAUAAAAAAUAAAUGCAUGGACAUGAAGAUUGUGGAGGGAGAAGAGUGGUGAGCAUGAUUAAUUUUAAUGACUAGGAUUAAGAAUGUUGAAGUUGCAAUUGUUUUUCUUCAAAGAACAUAUUGAUUUAGGGAUUGCACAGGCAAAAAGGGAAAAUAUUCAUGAUGAGCAUGAUACGCUGUGCCAUUUUGUUUUACUAAAUAAACCACAAUACUGCCCUACAUGAAUUUGAUGACAUAGCCCUGACAUUAAGGCCAAGUUUUCCCAUGCUUUGAGAACGUUGUAGCAUCAAGUGUAAGCUUCUUAUUAUAUGUUCGAGGGUUUUACUACCUGUAUGGAGAAUGUUUAUAAAACAUUCUUGUGAAUCUGCCUCAUUGUCCCUGGUUUGAAUUCUGACCUUUGCAAGUUCUAGGCUAUCCCCUAUAUCAAUUGGUCUUUGUUUUUGGCUGUUAACUUCAAUGGUCACUUGUUGACUUGGUUGGAUGGUUCCUUGGCAUAAACCUGCCCUAGAGAAAUUGCCACUUCUCAAUUUAGCUUGUAAACCCACCCGUGGGUAGUACAAGUGGUAAGGGUGAACUAGUGAGCAUGAGCCCCAUGUCACAGGUUUGAUUUUAUGUGGAAUCAAACUGCGAUUUAAUUGGGAAGCUAUGGCGGUGGGUUGCUGUGCUAGUCUCCCCGGGGGUUUAGGUUCCAUGGGUGAGUCCUAAGGACUCUGCCGUGGGGUGGUUCCCCUGUCAUCAAAAAGAAAAUUUAGCUUAUAAUCUUUGAAUAUUGAAAUAACUUAGUAUUAAUCAGUCGAUAUGCGGCUGUAUUGAACUGAUAUUAAUGUUCUUUAUGGAAUGAGUGCCAGUGGAGCCAUGCAGCCCAUAUGGACUGUGGACUUUGUUAUCCAGGGAUGCCGGCGAAAGCACAACUGUAAAUAAUUCAGAUUCCCAUUCUGCUGUUGAAAUUGUACUUCUUGCAAGCACAGAUAAUUAUAUUUAGCAUACUUAUAAAAAAUUAUAUUUAGCAAAGAACAAAAGCAAGCAAAAUACAUUUUGAUCCACCAGAGUGACCUAUUGUGUGCUUGAUGUUCAUUCUUUGUUCAUUUAUGUUUUUAGUUGCUUUUAUUCCAGCUGGGGGAGGUGCCUUUCGAGAUGUGAAAUUUAAAUAAAGCUGAGAUGGUAAAUUAUUGAGUUAUUUUUUGGUGGUUGUGGAGUAAUCAGUGGGGACCCUGUAUGUUUAAUGAUAGGUCAAUUUUUUAAAUUAUAUUUCGAGUGAUCCCACAUUGUAAGGGGAAAAAAAAGGAUGGCCAAAGCCAUAGAAGAAAGUUUCAUCAUGAAUAAUAGAGAAUAAAGAUGCUUGCUUUUCUGGAAUUGUUUGAGAAGUAUUUGCUGUCAGCAGCAAUGCAGUUCUGGAAAUAUAUAGAUGUUAUCACAACAUAUUUAGUGAUGACUUUUAUUAGGCGAAAAGUGAUGUGUGUUAGGGAUAAAAGAACCUAUUAUCAUCAUGGAUUAAUCUUUUGACUAAUUGGGUAAUUUACUGUAUUUUAGGUCAACAUGAUGGCACUCUGAAUAUUUAAGUUGUGGCAGGGGAUACAGUUAAGAUUACAUAUGCCUGAUGGUAUACUCGCCCAGUGUUCAGAGCUUCAUAAGUAUAAGCUAGCAGAGAAGUGGUAAGCUAACUUCUUAAUUCUUUAUUUACUCUUACCUGUGUUGAUAAAUCUCUGCUAGCUAAGUCAUGUUAUAUACAUUUAUCAUUUCAUAUGACAAAGUUCAUUGUAUAAUGUAAUUUUUGCCCAUUUCUGUUUUACUUUAACUUUGGACUUUAACAUACAGCUUUAUUUCAGAUCAUUAGAUGUAUAAACCUCUUAGUUACUUUUA